rnacentral:snRNA from 1 species
GGGGUAGCCCAUAUACUAAUAUUGGAAAGAAUGAGGAAAAAAUUAGCAUGGCCUCUGGGCAGGCCUGACCUGCACGUUAUUGAAGUGUUCCACAUUCUA